CAGCUAACGCNAUAAGUAGACCGCCUGGGGAGUACGGCCGCAAGGUUAAAACUCAAAUGAAUUGACGGGGGCCCGCACNAGCGGUNGAGCAUGUGGUUUANUUCGAUGCAACGCGAAGAACCUUACCUGGUCUUGACAUACACAGAAUCUUGUAGAGAUACNAGAGUGCCUUCGGGAAUUGUGAUACAGGUGCUGCAUGGCUGUCGUCAGCUCGUGUCGUGAGAUGUUGGGUUAAGUCCCGCAACGAGCGCAACCCUUGUCCUUAGUUACCAGCGGGUUAAGCCGGGAACUCUAAGGAUACUGCCAGUGACAAACUGGAGGAAGGCGGGGACGACGUCAAGUCAUCAUGGCCCUUACGACCAGGGCUACACACNUGCUACAAUGGUAGGUACAGAGGGCAGCUACACAGCGAUGUGAUGCGAAUCUCAAAAAGCCUAUCGUAGUCCAGAUUGGAGUCUGCAACUCGACUCCAUGAAGUAGGAAUCGCUAGUAAUCGCGGAUCAGAAUGCCGCGGUGAAUACGUUCCCGGGCCUUGUACACACCGCCCGUCACACCAUGGGAGUUGAUUGCACCAGAAGUGGUUAGCCGAAC
rnacentral:rRNA from 1 species